rnacentral:lncRNA from 1 species
AACAUUAAGAAACCUUUAGGCUUUUUCAAAUCUCCUACUGACCUGCAGACCCUACAAUGAAUUACAAAUAUUAAAAAGACUUUCGGUAUCUAAUACCUAGGUAGUAGAAUCAUAAAUUAAAAAAUUACAAGGUGUUAUUAUAUAAUUACCUUAUCCAGUAACAACUUGCUUUUUUCUCGACCUGUUCGGAUCCAGAAAGACAAUGUAUCAAGAAUAAUUUCUCUUCUGGUGCCCCUGCUUCUUGCAGUAGAAGCAUCUACCUGACUCUAGUCGGACUUAGGUUUCUUGGUCUGAUAGGGCUUGGGUGUCCUAGCACUUUGCAUCCUUUUCUUGUUCUUUUUUCCUUUCUUAAAGGGUCGACAUCCAGAAGAAGACCCUCCAACAACAUUCACCGACUCCUUGUAGAGCUGAUGAUUCUUCUCAAAGUUCUGUAGCAACUCCAGCAAAC